GUAGAGUGGCGCACGGGUGAGUAACACGUAGAUAAUCUACUUUCAAGCCCGGGAUAACUAUUCGAAAGGAUAGCUAAUACCGGAUGAAGUUAAUUGACACAGGUUGGUUAAUGAAAGAUUGCCUCUUCUUGAAAGCAAAUUGUUUGGGGAUGAGUUUGCGGACCAUUAGCUUGUUGGUGGGGGUAAAAGCCUACCCAAGGCUGCGAUGGUUAGCUGGGUCUGAGAGGGAUGAUCAGUCACACUGGAAACUGGGAACACGGUCCCAGACUCCUACGGGGAGGCAGCAGUGAGGAAAUUUUGCGCAAAUGGGGGGAAACCCCUGACGCAGCAAACGCCCGCGUGAGUGAAGAAAGGCCUUUGGGUCGUAAAAGCUCUGUCAAACUGGGAAAGAAAAUUACAAAUUAUCCAAUAGGUGAUUGUAUUGACGGUACCAGUGGAGGAAGCGCCGGCUAACUCCGUGCCAGCAGCCGCGGUAACACGGGGGGCGCAAGCGUUAUUCGGAAUUAUUGGGCGUAAAAGGGCGCGUAGGCGGUCUUGUCGGUCAGAUGUGAAAGCCCAGGGCUCAACCCUGGACGUGCAUUUGAAACAGCAAGACUUGAGUACGGGAGAGGAAAGCGGAAUUCCUGGUGUAGAGGUGAGAUUCGUAGAUAUCAGGAGGAACACCGAUGGCGAAGGCAGCUUUCUGGACCAAUACUGACGCUGAGGUGCGAAGGCGUGGGUAGCAAACAGGAUUAGAUACCCUGGUAGUCCACGCAGUAAACGUUGUUCACUA
rnacentral:rRNA from 1 species